rnacentral:rRNA from 1 species
GAUGAACGCUUACAGAAUGCUUAACACACGCAAGUAGACUCGAGUCCUCGGCCUUGGGUGGCGCACGGGUGAGCAAACGCGUAAAGAACUUGCCUCUUAGACCGGGACAACAUCUGGAAACGGAUGAUAAUACCGGAUAUUAUGGUUUUUUCGCAUGGAGGAAUCAUGAAAAGCUAGAUGCGCUAAGAGAGAGCUUUGCGUCCCAUUAGCUGGUUGGUGAGGUAACGGCCCACCAAGGCAAUGAUGGGUAGCCGGCCUGAGAGGGUGAACGGCCACAAGGGGACUGAGACACGGCCCUUACUCCUACGGGAGGCAGCAGUGGGGAAUAUUGGACAAUGGACCGCAAGUCUGAUCCAGCAAUUCUGUGUGCACGAUGACGUUUUUCGGAAUGUAAAGUGCUUUCAGUCGGGAAGAAGUCAGUGACGGUACCGACAGAAGAAGCGACGGCUAAAUACGUGCCAGCAGCCGCGGUAAUACGUAUGUCGCAAGCGUUAUCCGGAUUUAUUGGGCGUAAAGCGCGUCUAGGCGGCAAGGAAAGUCUGAUGUGAAAAUGCGGAGCUCAACUCCGUAUGGCGUUGGAAACUGCCUUACUAGAGUACUGGAGAGGUAGGCGGAACUACAAGUGUAGAGGUGAAAUUCGUAAAUAUUUGUAGGAAUGCCGAUGGGGAAGCCAGCCUACUGGACAGAUACUGACGCUAAAGCGCGAAAGCGUGGGUAGCAAACAGG